rnacentral:tRNA from 1 species
GGUUAUGGCUCAGCGGUUGAGCACUCACCUAGCAUGUGUGAGGUCCUGGGAUCAAUCCUCAGCACCA